GGCCAGACCAGUGGCCUUGGGAAGAGCCUGGACAGGGGGGUGGGAGGUCUGGGCAUCCUGGGGCCACAUUUCCGGGCAGGGUGGGUCCGCCCAGGCUUGAGGACCAGACCCACAGACAGCGCUGGAGAUUCGGCUCUGUGGGGUCAGUGGGGAGUCCUGGAGGCACAGAUUUUUCCUAAAAGCACAGUGGAUGGACGGGGAGAGAGCCCUGGCUUGUCGGUGGGAAGAGGGCCUCCCUCUGGCUUGAUCAGAGACCAUUCUGGGGGCAGAAAGACCCCACCCCAGCUUCAAGACCCCCUACUCGCCGAACCUCCCUCGGUAGUCCGCGGAUGCUCGCCCGCAGUCGGAGGGCGGCUCGGCCUUCGCGGCUCAGCCACUCCCCCCACGCCGAGGCCUAGGAUUCCCCCCACCCCCCAACUCCGCGCGCAGCCCCCAGGGCCCCCGCCCUGUGGGGCGGCCCAGGCCCUCCGCACGACCCCUCCCACCUCCCCCAGGGACCGGUACGAUCCCCCUCGCCCCCGGCCCCCGACUGGCCCCGAGCCCUCCCGGCUCCCGCCUCCGGCGCAGCCCCCUAGCCACCCCCGCUUCCCUCCCGGCUCAGGCCCCCUCCCCCCGCCGCCCCCGCCCCCGGGGAA
rnacentral:lncRNA from 1 species